UACGUAGGGAGCAAGCGUUGUCCGGAAUCAUUGGGCGUAAAGCGCGUGUAGGCGGUUACAUAAGUCUGUUGUGAAAGUCGGAGGCUCAACCUUCGAAAGCCGAUGGGUACUGUGUGACUUGAGUACGGAAGAGGAGAGUGGAAUUCCUGGUGUAGCGGUGAAAUGCGCAGAUAUCAGGAGGAACACCAACGGCGAAGGCAGCUCUCUGGGACGUUACUGACGCUGAGACGCGAAAGCGUGGGGAGCAAACAGG
rnacentral:rRNA from 1 species